GAGGAUAUAGUUCAAAUGGUAGAGUGCAUGCCUAGCAUGCACAAGGUCCUGGGUUGAAUCCCCAGUAUCUCCU
rnacentral:tRNA from 1 species